rnacentral:rRNA from 1 species
CGGUGUUCAACUGGCGUGUCCGCGGGACGUCCUGCCGGUGGGCUUAGCCCGCAAGGGCGGCCCAACUUCAAAUCCCAUCGCGGUGCUCUUCACUGAGUGUCGAGGUGGGCCGGCACGUUUACUUUGAACAAAUUAGAGUGCUUAAAGCAGGCUAAAACUUCGCCUGAAUACUGUGUGCAUGGAAUAAUGGAAUAGGACCUCGGUUCUAUUUUGUUGGUUUUCGGAACCCCGAGGUAAUGAUUAAUAGGAACGGAUGGGGGCAUUCGUAUUGCGACGUUAGAGGUGAAAUUCUUGGAUCGUCGCAAGACGGACAGAAGCGAAAGCAUUUGCCAAAAACGCUUUCAUUGAUCAAGAACGAAAGUUAGAGGUUCGAAGGCGAUCAGAUACCGCCCUAGUUCUAACCAUAAACGAUGCCAGCUAGCGAUCCGUCGACGUUCCUCCGAUGACUCGACGGGCAGCUUCCGGGAAACCAAAGCUUUUGGGUUCCGGGGGAAGUAUGGUUGCAAAGCUGAAACUUAAAGGAAUUGACGGAAGGGCACCACCAGGAGUGGAGCCUGCGGCUUAAUUUGACUCAACACGGGAAACCUCACCAGGCCCGGACACCGGAAGGAUUGACAGAUUGAGAGCUCUUUCUUGAUUCGGUGGGUGGUGGUGCCUGGCCGUUCUUAGUUGGUGGAGCGAUUUGUCUGGUUAAUUCCGAUAACGAACGAGACUCUAGCCUGCUAACUAGGCGUAUUUUCGACAUCUCAAAGGUCCGUCGUCCCGGCCCUCGGGUCGUGGGCGUGCGCGAUUUUUACUGUCGGCGUACUAUCAAUUCUUCUUAGAGGGACAGGUGGCUUCUAGCCGCACGAGAUUGAGCAAUAACAGGUCUGUGAUG